rnacentral:lncRNA from 1 species
GGUAGCUGCGACGGUCUGGUUUGCUUCUUCUGUAUUCACACACCCAACGUCGUGGUGAAUCCGGCCACUCGAUGGCAUCGGAGUUUUCCUUUUUCCUCCCUGCAACGCCUUAUCAUCGACAAAGGACCCCCCUUUGCCAGCGGCGACCUAACUUAUGAGCUUGGAUUUGGUAAAGACAAGUUGAGUGGUACUUACAAGCCUGUUUGGUUGUAUAAUUCAUCCGAAUUUGGACUAGACAAUGUUACCACUUGUGAAGUUUUCGACUUUAGCACCCACUCCUGGAGGAACCUUGUCGCUUCUUCUCCUUAUCCUAUUCUCAGAUUCCAGAAGCCAGUCUAUUUUGACGGGUCACUCUAUUGGCUCACCGACUGUGUAGAAACAAAGGUUUUGUCUUUCGAUCUCCACACUGAAACUUUCCAAGUCAUCUGUAAAACUCCCUUUGCUGAUGCACCUCGCCCAAGUAACGUAGUCUUGUUCAUCCUUGAUGACUGUUUGUGCGCUUCUGAGAAAACGUGGCCAACGCAAGUCAUAUGGUCUUUGGAUUCUUCUUCAAAGACAUGGAAGCAAAUGUGUUCUAUAGAUCUCACCAAUACUUUUCCUUUGUUCGACAGAUACGGUCCCAUACCCUUACCCGUAGCAAUCCUGGAGAAGAACAAGUUAUAUCUCCAUGGUCGUAACUACUUGGAACCACUCAUGCUACAUGAUCUCAAUACCAAAUCUUUUGAGGUUGUCUCCACACCUACCACCCCCGGAGAUUGUAUUUAUUAUUUCGAAAGUUUGUUCUCUGUUUAAUCUUUUAUGUUUCCUUAUUUAUGUAUCAAUCAACCAUUUGUAACCUGAACAAAUGUAUUUGGAUACAUAAUAUGUAAAUAAUCAAACCUGAAGAAAAAUGAAUUGAAUUUUAAAAGGAUAAUUAUAGAUUUAAUGUUGAGUCAAUCUUAUAAAGAAAUGGACUUUUUAGCUUUAUCCAAAACACGUACCAAACUGGGGAAUGUUGAGUCAAUCUUAAUUUAAUGUCGCUUAGUUAUAGGGAUGCACGUAGCUUUAUAUGGUUCAUCUGAGAGUAUUGUUUUGUCGACGUCUGAGAGUAUAAUAAUUUCAGCGUUCUUAUAAAAGUCUAAAAAAAAGAAACAAAGAAAAAACACCAAGUAAUUGUAAUUUGGUUUAGGUACACACUGAACAACUUAUAAACCAAUAGUUAAAGAAAGGUCUACCAUUACCUUACUCCACUCUUGAAAACCCUUUAAGGAGUGGAGACGACUGAGAAACAAUUAGCUGAGGUAAUUUAAAGAAAAACAUUUGUUAUAAAUGUUCCUUCACUGAGGUUAGACAAAGAUAAGAGCACCUUUAUCGCAGAACACAAUGGGUUUCUGCAUGAAAUAAGGGUGUGGAUCCUACGUUUUUUAAAAAAAAUGGUUACCAAAGUCGCUAGUUAUGGAUCGCUCUUGGCCAAUUUGUUACACUAUUUUAUGGACCCCACGACACGUGGCGGCCCGCGAUUGGUUUCGUUUUAAUUUUUUUAUUUUUAAAUCAGAUAAAACAAAAAAAAAUUUAGAAAUCCUCACCCGAUAAUCAUGCUCUAAGAUGAAGGACUGGUUCUCAGAAUCUGUAAAAACUGCAGGUAUUGGUGAAAGAAAAUCCAUUAAAUGUAUCCAAACAGACAUAAUGCAGUGUUCCAAGUCUCAUAUGCUUCCAAGCCAGAAGGCACAAUUGCCCAUGUCCUAAAGGUACUACUAAACUUACUAUAAGAGGAUUUGCUCAGAUAAAUCUAAGUAUAUGCUAUCUUUUGCUAAACCACACAAAUAUUAUGGAUUCUCUUGUAUAAUUUGUAACCUUUUUGGUAACCUUUAUGGUAAUAAUAAAAGGCGUGCAAUGUUAUUGUCCAAUAUGUGAUGAUCCUAAAAUGUUUAAUAAUUUUUUUAUUAAGAAUCUUUAAUUAAGAGACUAGCAUUGGAUCUCAUAAAUGUUGAAUUUUUUUAACUAAGUCUCUUAACUAACAUUUACUAUUUAAAAAGUACUUAAAAGACCUUAAAGGAGUCUUUGGGUUAAUGAUGCUUUAAACGCCUUAACACUGUCUUUAGGGGGGGUUAUUGGGAGAGUAAUUUGUGUAGAGUUUGUGGAUUCUUAAAGUUGAUAGAUUUUAAAAGUAAUGUAGACUAUAAAAAUCAAAAUACAUUGACUUAUAAAAUUUGAUAAUCAUUACUACAGAUUUUCAUAAACUUUGUUACCUUAUUUAUAUCUUUCCUUUUAUAAAGUAAUAUGAUAUUUUCUAUUUUUUUUCCAAAAAAAAUCUCUUUUAAUAUGACAUGAUUAUUUGUUUUUCUUGUUGCAAAACAUGUUUUAAAAAAAAAACAAUAAGGAUACAGUAUAAAAUUAUGUUAAUAUGAUAAGAUGAACAUUAUGUUAAGAAAUUUAACUUUAUUAUUUUUACAAAAAAAACUUUCUAUAUUGUGUUUGCUUAAUUGAUAUGUUAUUUUAGUUUCUAUUUAAUAACAAAACAACAAAAAUGAAAUAUAAUUGUGGACAUAUAAUUUGGAUGGAAUGUGCAAUAGAUAUUUGGAAGGAAUAACUAUGUUGUUUUCCGAAGAAAAAUAUAACAUGGAUUUUGAAAAUCUCAUGGAUACAUAUGAUAUUUUGAAAGUUUUGUCUUGUGAGUAAAAAUGUAGAGAAUUCAUCUCCCAAUAACACUAGAUUUAGUUAGAAUUAGAGAAUCAAUAAAAACCAAACUUUUUGAAUAACAAAAGAUUUGAAAGGAAUUUGUGAAUCCUUAAACCAAUAACAAGGGAUUUGUUAAGAUUUUUAUAAUUCAUGAACCAAUAACAAUAGACUCUCAGAAUUUCCAAAAUUGAUGAGAAUUUGCUCCCCAAUAACCCCCCCUUAAUCCUAAAUCGGAAUCCAAUAUUAAAAAAAUUAUAUUUGCAUAAUAAUCUUCAAAAUCAAUCAAAACUCACUAAUAAAAAUUACAAACAAUAUUAUCUAAUAAAAAUACAAACUAAAUAAUCUGCAAGAAAAGUUUAACUAACUCAAUUGAAUUAGUGAAUUUUAAAGAAGAAUUAUUUUGCUUAGAACAGCAAAAUUUUCUAGACCACUGCCAAGAGGAAAGAGUGGUUGGCACAAACGGUUAGUUUUCAGGUAAUACGCGAAAAUAGUCGAGAAUCAGUGAAUGUUUUUAUGACUCAACAUAAAUGAUAUACAUGUGAUCAUCACUGACAUUUGUAUUUAAGUUGACAUACCGUAUAUUAUGUAUAUAUAUAUAUAUAUAUAUAUAUAUGUAUAUAUGCAUUUACAAUAUCCAAAUGUUGAACAGUGAUUAGAUGAAAGUCUAGUGUAUAACGAGAACAAAAUGGUUUGGACACGAGAAGAGACAAAAUUUGUCUAUGUGAAUUUAGGCUCUGAAUGGUGACUGCGGUUUGAGCGGUGCGGAACAAGCGGUUCAACUGCGGUGCGGUUCUAACAGUUAUAAAAAUAUAUAGAUAUAUAGUAUACGUAAAGAUUUUUGUUAUUGUUAACUGCGGGGCGGAGCGGAACGAUGGUCACCAUUCGAAGCCUUAGAAGCAAAAUAACAGUAAAUACCCAUGAGCCAUGAUCCCUCUAUCAUUUCACAUACAGUGAUGACACACAUAUUCAUAUAAAAUGUAAUCAAAUCAAAUAGUGUUUAUAACUUACAUGUCAUGUACGUAACUGUAACUCUAACCCCAGUCCAUUACUCGAAUUAUUCUUUUUUUAGUGCACCAUUACUCGAAUUAUUUGAAGUGGAUAUUUUACAUUUGUUCGCUCACAUGAACUCGUGUCCACAUUUGUCUCAUCCACAUUUUUUGUGUCCAUUUUUCUUCAAUCCACAUAUUUAAGUUUUUAAAGAAAACUCAGAUGGUGGUUAAACUAUAUUCACCUACAUUUUCGUAAUGAUUUUCUGAAUGGUAAUCAAGGGAACGAAGAGGAACACUGAUGUUCCUUGUUACCAUUCGUGAGGAAUUCCCUUUUUUGUAGAGAAUUAUAAUGCAAAUUUGUUCCUUGUUAAUUUUGAUAAGGAACCCUUAUUUCUCAUCGUUCCCAAAAUUUUAUUCCUAUUCAUUCUUUUCCUAAUCAUUCCUAAUGUUCCUUGAUGGUUACCAGUCACACCCGGUUUAAAUUAGAAACAAGCAAGAAACUAUAUGUUUUGUGAAAAACGGUAAAAACAAUUUUGAUUGUGUGUUCAUUUAACAUGAAACAAAAGUUUAAUAUAAAAUUAACAAUAUAUUAUUUAUUAUAACUUGUCCACAAAAAAUAAAUUCACGUCUAUUGUCUACUAUAACUUAUAUAUAAGAGUUUUUUAUUUUUUCAGCUAUUCAUGUUCAUAUUUUUUAUGUCCGUACAUUUUAUAUAAUUUUAAUAUAAAAAAAUUAUCUAUGAAAGUGGAUUUUAAAAUGUAGUAGAAAAAAUUACAAUUUAUUGUAAUAAUUAUAUUUAUUUUAUAUAUUUUUAAUUUUAAGAAAAAUCAAAUAAAAACAUUGAAUGAAAUGAAUAAUAAUAAUAAAUUAAAAUAACAAAAAACUAAUAGCUAACAAUACGUACUAUUAACUAAACACAACAACUAAACAACGAUUUUCCAUAGCUUCGUUUUGUUGAGAAGAUGAUAUUUUUGUCUAGAAAGCUUCUUGAAAAUCGUGAAUGUGUUAUUCAAGUAAGAUGUGUCUUAAAGUAAGCUUGGACAUUCGGGUCGUCGGAUCGGGUUCGGAUCGGGUCCUUUCGGAUCUGGAUAUUUCGGGUCUAAAAGUUUAGGAUCCGAUAGGGUAAUUUCAAAUUUUCGAUUCCGGGUCGGUUCGGAUCAUGCCGGGUCCGGAUCGGGUCGGGUCUUAGAUAGUUAGAUCCAUUCGGGUAAUUAGAAUUUAUCAGUUCGGAUUUGGUUUGGUUUCGGGUCGAGUUCGAUCUAAAAAAGACCUUAAAAUACAAAAAAAUAUCUGAAAAUAUUUAUAUCCAAAAAUAUUCAAAAUUUUAUUCAAAAUUUGUGUUUUUAUUAUAUUAAAAUGAGUAUAUAUAUUAAACUAUGCGAUAUACAACAACAAUUUGUUGUCUCUUAGUGGUUGAUCUCCAUGUUCUCUACACAAAUAACCUAUCUUUGACUCUCCUUUGAUGCAUUUUAUUUAAUUUACAUUAUUAAUUCAGGUACUUAUCGGGUUUCGGGUUUGGGUCGGGUCGGGUCCAAGAUCCGCGGAUCCUCUGCAACAAGACCCGAUAGGAUAAUUUUAUCGGGUCGGUACCUAUUCGAACCGGGUUUUUUCGUGUCGAUUUCGGGUCGGGUCUUUGGGUCCGGAUAAAAUGUCCACGCCUAUCUUAAAAUGUAAAUAAACUCCAUAAAGUGUCCUAAAUGUGUAAUGCCUCUUUUUUCUUUUAUUUUCUGUUUUAGUUGAGGUUAAAAUGGUCUUUUCAUAUUCAUCUUCUACAUUUCGUCGCAUGUAACCCUAAGUACACGCAGCCACUCAAUUUUGUUUCUAUCCUUUUGUUAUAAGUUUUCUUCCGAUUAUUUCAUUCAUUAUUCAUCAAAAAUCCAUAGAUCCGUAUGAAAUACAUGGAAUUUUAACCGCAAACUAACUAAUUACGUUGUUCUGGGAUUGAGAUGCGACCUAUCCCUCUAGUGAGAGCCUCAUUCAGAAAUCGAUUCUCAUUUGAUGCGAUCUAUGGCGUGAGGUGAUUAUGUUUAGCUUUUAUUCAUUAAUUUUGAUUUCAAAUUGAUGAGAUUUUCGAUAAUUAAGAUUCGACUGGGAGAAAAAAGUUUUGGAAAAUUCCUUUUCUCUUAAUGUAAAUGUUUCCUUUUUUCCAAUGCUUACAGGUCGGCUGCUCUGCAUAUAUAAAGACACUCUCAGAUCAUCAAUAAGGUGAGAGAGGCAAGAAAGAUACAAUGUUGAAAAAAAGACAUGGCUCAAUUUUGAAAAGACAUGGCUCUGAUAAGAGAAGACGUGGCUCCAGCUCCAGCUCCAGCUUGAGUGUGGAAUUGGAACUGCUACCACACGAUGUGAUAGAGCUCAUACUCGAGAGACUUCCCGUGGAAUCUCUGCGGAGAUUCAGGUCUGUGUCCAAGAAGUGGAUAUCCACAAUCGAUUCCCCUCGUUUCCAGUCAAGGCAGUUGAACCUUCGCAGGCAAUCACGAGGUCAUGAUCUCCUUUUCGUAGCCUAUUACGAGGAUCCUCCUGAUGAUGUAGCUCAACAUGCCUUGGGCUCUUCUUCUUCUUGCAUAUACCGUACUGUCAAGUUCCCUUUUCCGAACGUCUUGCUUUGCUAUGGUAGCUGCGACGGUCUGGUUUGCUUCUUCUGUAUUCACACACCCAACGUCGUGGUGAAUCCGGCCACUCGAUGGCAUCGGAGUUUUCCUUUUUCCUCCCUGCAACGCCUUAUCAUCGACAAAGGACCCCCCUUUGCCAGCGGCGACCUAACUUAUGAGCUUGGAUUUGGUAAAGACAAGUUGAGUGGUACUUACAAGCCUGUUUGGUUGUAUAAUUCAUCCGAAUUUGGACUAGACAAUGUUACCACUUGUGAAGUUUUCGACUUUAGCACCCACUCCUGGAGGAACCUUGUCGCUUCUUCUCCUUAUCCUAUUCUCAGAUUCCAGAAGCCAGUCUAUUUUGACGGGUCACUCUAUUGGCUCACCGACUGUGUAGAAACAAAGGUUUUGUCUUUCGAUCUCCACACUGAAACUUUCCAAGUCAUCUGUAAAGC